rnacentral:rRNA from 1 species
CCCGAGGAAACUCGGAUUAAUACCGGAUAUUCUUAUUUUUUCACAUGAAGUUUUAAGGAAAGGUCAGCCGAACUAAGAUGAGCUCGCGUUCUAUCAGCUAGUUGGUGGGGUAAAAGCCUACCAAGGCUACGACGGAUAGCUGGUCUGAGAGGACGAUCAGCCACACUGGGACUGAGACACGGCCCAGACUCCUACGGGAGGCUGCAGCAGGGAAUAUUGUGCAAUGAGCGAAAGCUUGACACAGCGACACCGCGUGUGGGAUGACGGUUCUAGGAUUGUAAACCACUUUCAGGAGGGAAGAAAAU